rnacentral:Y_RNA from 1 species
GACUGGACCAAAAGUAGUGAGUUAUCUCAAUUAAUUGUUCACAGUCAAUUAUAUAUUGAACUUCUUGUUCUACUCUUCCUCCUCCACUCCAUCCCCCUUCUCACUACUGCACUUGAUUAGUCUUAA